GCAUAUCGACCAACUAAUCAACCAGUCGACCAGGACACUACAGCCCUACUAAUUUCUGAUGAAGGAGGGCUGGUUUACAAUCUAUAAGGUAGGGCUGACCCAAAUGCUUCAAAGCUUUGUUCGAUGCCUUCGUAUCGGAACAGCAAAAUCGGUAAUCAAACAUUCGUACCCCUGCUCUCAUCUCGUCUACCUGCAAACUUUGCGCGUCCAACGCAGCGUCAUAGGACAUGUGACUCCUUAAAGUUGUCAAGCAUCUGGAGUAACUUCAAAGUUUGCCAGAUAUGCCAAAAGAUACUAGCACUUCACCUGAAAAAUCCUGAACCUGAAGACCCAAACAGCCUUUCUGCAAAACUCUGAAAAACAUUUCCAGUGAAAGUGAAGUCUAACCACGUCACACGGUAUGUAGGUCACACGGCUUUUACCCCAAAUGGCUGAAACCGUGAUAGAAAGGAAGUAAGUUUGUUUUGGGCCUGACAGCAGCAACUAACAGACUCAGAGCUGUGAAAAACAUGUCUGAGGUUUUCUUUAUCUCACCUACUGUAUCGCACCAGUCCUGCUUUCUGCUUUUACUUCUGCUUUGCUUUUUUGUGUUUCAUCAUCAUCGUCAGUCUGUCAGAGUGAACAUCCACACUGUGUAAUUAUUAACUGAGCCUUUGGGGAAAUCUAUUGCAAAAUAAAACACAAUGAUCCCACAAACUGAGCAAACAGCAUCAUUCAUUCCUCGUUUUAAAAGAUUUUUUUUCUUUUCUUUCACUCGGCUAAUAUUUGCACGUUGAAAGAACAGCCGGUAUAAAUAUUUUAAGUGUGUGUUGGCUCCGAGUCCGAGCUGUUAAGACUCGGGGUAAUUUAAAGAAAGAGGGAAAGAAAAGACAGAAUUUAGCCUUGAUUCAGAUGCAAACGAUGUGAAGAUGAAGUGCUGCUGCUGCUUUAAAAAAAAAAAAAAAAUACA